UACAGAGGGUGCGAGCGUUGUCCGGAAUCACUGGGCGUAAAGGGCGCGUAGGUGGCGCCCCAAGUCCGUGGUGAAAGCUCGAUGCUCAACAUCGAGUCGGCCACGGAAACUGGGGGCUCGAGCACUGUAGAGGCAGAUGGAAUUCCGGGUGUAGCGGUGGAAUGCGUAGAGAUCCGGAAGAACACCGGUGGCGAAGGCGGCCUGCUGGCAGUAGCUGACGCUGAUGCGCGACAGCGUGGGGAGCAAACAGGAUUAGAAACCCGUGGUACGUCC
rnacentral:rRNA from 1 species